UACGUAGGGUGCAAGCGUUGUCCGGAAUUAUUGGGCGUAAAGAGUUCGUAGGCGGCCUGUCGCGUCCGUUGUGAAGCCUGGGGGCUCAACCCCCAGGUCUGCAGUGGAUACGGGCAGGCUAGAGUCAGGUAGGGGAGAACGGAAUUCCUGGUGUAGCGGUGAAAAUGCGCAGAUAUCAGGAGGAACACCGGUGGCGAAGGCGGUUCUCUGGGCCUGUACUGACGCUGAGGAACGAAAGCGUGGGGAGCGAACAGG
rnacentral:rRNA from 1 species